UAUGAAGUUAUUUCCUUCCAGAUUGUACUACUGGAUCAAUCCGUCUUGUUGGUGGUUCACACGAUUGGGAAGGAAGAGUGGAAGUGUGUGAUAGUGGAUCAUGGGGCACUGUCUGUGAUGAUCUCUGGGGCUCCCCUGAUGCAGCAGUAGUGUGUAGACAACUAGGCUGGGGAACAAGUGGAACUGCUCGAUCAUUUGCCUACUUUGGUCAGGGUACUGGUAGUAUCCUCCUGGAUGAUGUUCAGUGCACAGGAACAGAAGAGUUUUUGACAAACUGCACACACUCGAGUACUCACAACUGUGGACACUAUGAGGAUGCUGGAGUAUCUUGUGAUGUUUGUACUUCUGGUUCUCUUCGUCUUGU